rnacentral:rRNA from 1 species
AGCGUACACGGUGGAUGCCCUGGCAGUCAGAGGCGAUGAAGGACGUGCUAAUCUGCGAUAAGCGCCGGUAAGGUGAUAUGAACCGUUAUAACCGGCGAUUUCCGAAUGGGGAAACCCAGUGUGACUCGUCACACUAUCAUUAACUGAAUCCAUAGGUUAAUGAGGCGAACCGGGGGAACUGAAACAUCUAAGUACCCCGAGGAAAAGAAAUCAACCGAGAUUCCCCCAGUAGCGGCGAGCGAACGGGGAGGAGCCCAGAGCCUGAAUCAGCAUGUGUGUUAGUGGAAGCGUCUGGAAAGGCGCGCGAUACAGGGUGACAGCCCCGUACACAAAAGCGCAUGUGCUGUGAGCUCGAUGAGUAGGGCGGGACACGUGGUAUCCUGUCUGAAUAUGGGGGGACCAUCCUCCAAGGCUAAAUACUCCUGACUGACCGAUAGUGAACCAGUACCGUGAGGGAAAGGCGAAAAGAACCCCGGCGAGGGGAGUGAAAAAGAACCUGAAACCGUGUACGUACAAGCAGUGGGAGCACCCUUUGGGGUGUGACUGCGUACCUUUUGUAUAAUGGGUCAGCGACUUAUAUUCUGUAGCAAGGUUAACCGAAUAGGGGAGCCGGAGGGAAACCGAGUCUUAAUUGGGCGUUAAGUUGCAGGGUAUAGACCCGAAACCCGGUGAUCUAGCCAUGGGCAGGUUGAAGGUUGGGUAACACUAACUGGAGGACCGAACCGACUAAUGUUGAAAAAUUAGCGGAUGACCUGUGGCUGGGGGUGAAAGGCCAAUCAAACCGGGAGAUAGCUGGUUCUCCCCGAAAGCUAUUUAGGUAGCGCCUCGUGAAUUCAUCUCCGGGGGUAGAGCACUGUUUCGGCUAGGGGGCCAUCCCGGCUUACCAACCCGAUGCAAACUGCGAAUACCGGAGAAUGUUAUCACGGGAGACACACGGCGGGUGCUAACGUCCGUCGUGAAGAGGGAAACAACCCAGACCGCCAGCUAAGGUCCCAAAGUCAUGGUUAAGUGGGAAACGAUGUGGGAAGGCCCAGACAGCCAGGAUGUUGGCUUAGAAGCAGCCAUCAUUUAAAGAAAGCGUAAUAGCUCACUGGUCGAGUCGGCCUGCGCGGAAGAUGUAACGGGGCUAAACCAUGCACCGAAGCUGCGGCAGCGACGCUGAUGCGUUGUUGGGUAGGGGAGCGUUCUGUAAGCCUGCGAAGGUGGCCUGUGAGGGUUGCUGGAGGUAUCAGAAGUGCGAAUGCUGACAUAAGUAACGAUAAAGCGGGUGAAAAGCCCGCUCGCCGGAAGACCAAGGGUUCCUGUCCAACGUUAAUCGGGGCAGGGUGAGUCGACCCCUAAGGCGAGGCCGAAAGGCGUAGUCGAUGGGAAACGGGUUAAUAUUCCCGUACUUGGUGUUACUGCGAAGGGGGGACGGAGAAGGCUAUGUUGGCCGGGCGACGGUUGUCCCGGUUUAAGCGUGUAGGUGUGUGUUCCAGGUAAAUCCGGUUCACUUUAACACUGAGGCGUGAUGACGAGGCACUACGGUGCUGAAGCAACAAAUGCCCUGCUUCCAGGAAAAGCCUCUAAGCAUCAGGUAACAUCAAAUCGUACCCCAAACCGACACAGGUGGUCAGGUAGAGAAUACCAAGGCGCUUGAGAGAACUCGGGUGAAGGAACUAGGCAAAAUGGUGCCGUAACUUCGGGAGAAGGCACGCUGACACGUAGGUGAAGUGAUUUACUCAUGGAGCUGAAGUCAGUCGAAGAUACCAGCUGGCUGCAACUGUUUAUUAAAAACACAGCACUGUGCAAACACGAAAGUGGACGUAUACGGUGUGACGCCUGCCCGGUGCCGGAAGGUUAAUUGAUGGGGUCAGCGCAAGCGAAGCUCCUGAUCGAAGCCCCGGUAAACGGCGGCCGUAACUAUAACGGUCCUAAGGUAGCGAAAUUCCUUGUCGGGUAAGUUCCGACCUGCACGAAUGGCGUAAUGAUGGCCAGGCUGUCUCCACCCGAGACUCAGUGAAAUUGAACUCGCUGUGAAGAUGCAGUGUACCCGCGGCAAGACGGAAAGACCCCGUGAACCUUUACUAUAGCUUGACACUGAACAUUGAGCCUUGAUGUGUAGGAUAGGUGGGAGGCUUUGAAGUGUGGACGCCAGUCUGCAUGGAGCCGACCUUGAAAUACCACCCUUUAAUGUUUGAUGUUCUAACGUGGACCCGUGAUCCGGGUUGCGGACAGUGUCUGGUGGGUAGUUUGACUGGGGCGGUCUCCUCCUAAAGAGUAACGGAGGAGCACGAAGGUUGGCUAAUCCUGGUCGGACAUCAGGAGGUUAGUGCAAUGGCAUAAGCCAGCUUGACUGCGAGCGUGACGGCGCGAGCAGGUGCGAAAGCAGGUCAUAGUGAUCCGGUGGUUCUGAAUGGAAGGGCCAUCGCUCAACGGAUAAAAGGUACUCCGGGGAUAACAGGCUGAUACCGCCCAAGAGUUCAUAUCGACGGCGGUGUUUGGCACCUCGAUGUCGGCUCAUCACAUCCUGGGGCUGAAGUAGGUCCCAAGGGUAUGGCUGUUCGCCAUUUAAAGUGGUACGCGAGCUGGGUUUAGAACGUCGUGAGACAGUUCGGUCCCUAUCUGCCGUGGGCGCUGGAGAACUGAGGGGGGCUGCUCCUAGUACGAGAGGACCGGAGUGGACGCAUCACUGGUGUUCGGGUUGUCAUGCCAAUGGCACUGCCCGGUAGCUAAAUGCGGAAGAGAUAAGUGCUGAAAGCAUCUAAGCACGAAACUUGCCCCGAGAUGAGUUCU